AGGGGAGGAGGAAGUAGAAUACAAGCGAGGUCACAAAGCCCACGGACCCUGAGCUGGAGCCUCAAGCUAAGCACACGCCAGCCCUCACAGCUACCCUAAGGGAGUCUGUGCACUGGCUUCAGAGGCCGAGGGAAAUCCAAGGCUCCUGGGUUGGCUCAGCCAGCCUGCCCUCCCAGCUGCCUAGCCCAGGAGAUCAACAAGGGUAGAGCAGGGUGGGAACCACCACAUCCCCAAUUUGGAUUUAACUGUAGGAGACAGUCUGGGGCUCAGGGAACCCAACCCAGCAGAAUGAAGACAGAUGGUAAUAGCAGCGCCUGUCCGAAAUGCCCAGAAAUAUCACACAGGAAGUCCCCAAUGUACACACAAGGAGCAUUCCAAAAGCUUGUUUGUGUGUUGGAUGUUGAACCAUAGACACAGUCUUCUAAAAGAAGCUGUCUUCUGAAAGAAGCCACAUUCUGAAGGGAAGCUGGGCGACCGACCGUCCAGGCAGGCUGUCACCUGACCCACAGGUGUGUCCGACAGCACGCUCUCCAGGAUAAAGUGUGGACAAGACAGCUCACCAGGGGUUGGGCCAGGCCGGAAUAUAUCAGAGCACCUGAACUUACUUCCUGCUUGGCCAUGUACGGAGCCCAGCUGUCUAGGACACUCCUGGUAAACUUCCCUAGGACAAAUGGGACAACUGUGAAUCCCACAACUCCCUCGAAACUCUGUGUGUGAGGGGUCCAGCAGUUAAGCAGGUGACUUCUGUUAGAACAAAGCUGUCAGCCAGGGCAACCAUUUCUCGCGCUAGUCUUGGUGCCCAGACAGGAAACGGUUACCGCACAAGUCAGUGAGCUGACCAAUCACCUGCUCCACUACUGACCUGGCUGAGGAAUUACACAUGGCUGCUGGUCAUCCAAACAGACUUCCAAGAUCACUCUCAGCAAGGACCUCUGAUUCUCUUCCUUCUACAGGGGGUUCUAGAGGUAUCACAGGCAGGUUCAGCAGCAGGGUAAGGAGAAGCAGAGAUCCCCAGUGGAAAGCCUAAAAGUGAAUCACUUAAUAGUUGUUUGUGCUUGUGCUUAAGAAAUCCAAAUUAAAAAUUCUGUAAUAAA